GAUGAAGAACGCAGCGAAAUGCGAUAAGUAAUGUGAAUUGCAGAAUUCAGUGAAUCAUCGAAUCUUUGAACGCACAUUGCGCCCGCCAGUAUUCUGGCGGGCAUGCCUGUUCGAGCGUCAUUACAACCCUCAAGCUCAGCUUGGUGUUGGGCCCCGCCGCCCCGGCGGGCCCUAAAGUCAGUGGCGGUGCCGUCCGGCUCCGAGCGUAGUAAUUCUUCUCGCUCUGGAGGUCCGGUCGUGUGCUCGCCAGCAACCCCCAAUUUUUUUCAGGUUGACCUCGGAUCAGGUAGGGAUACCCGCUGAACUUAAGCAUAUCAAUAAGCGGAGGA
rnacentral:misc_RNA from 1 species